rnacentral:misc_RNA from 1 species
GGACUACAAGGGUAUCUAAUCCUGUUCGCUCCCCACGCUUUCGCUCCUCAGCGUCAGUUGUGGCCCAGAGACCUGCCUUCGCCAUCGGUGUUCCUCCUGAUAUCUGCGCAUUCCACCGCUACACCAGGAAUUCCAGUCUCCCCUACCACACUCUAGUCUGCCCGUACCCACUGCAGGCCCGAGGUUGAGCCUCGGGAUUUCACAGCAGACGCGACAAACCGCCUACGAGCUCUUUACGCCCAAUAAUUCCGGACAACGCUUGCGCCCUACGUAUUACCGCGGCGGCUGGCACG